rnacentral:lncRNA from 1 species
CUUCACUCUGAAAGCCGGUAUAUGUGUGGGGGCGAGGUUAUAUCUCCGGAGAUGCCCUUCAGGCGGCACGGAAGGGGAAAUUGUCAGAGGCAGGGAGGUAAGGCUCGUGAUAGUUCCUUCCUGGAACGGGAUUUCAAAGGCCCCAUCGUGUACUGGGGGAAAGGGGGGGCUGGAUAUCACGCGAUGACUUUGAUCGGUUCGGGAUUUGGGAGUUCGCGGAAGGGAAACAGGUGGAUCUCGCGAGCUUUGAGGGUUAAUUUUCAGCGCGUGGAGCUAGUCUCAUGAGGAGCGUGGGGGCUGCUGGGAGCUCGGUUGGCUCGCGACCUGCUAACGCUGACCGAGACUUCUGCGGCUUUGAAUAUCUUUCUUCCUUGAAACUUCAGAGCAUGAGAGAAGGGAUGCCUAAUUAUCACACACAGAAUUCAUGCAUACAUGAGAGGCUCAUUUGCAAGAUAACUAUCUCAUAUUUAAAGAAGGGAAAGUCAUUCCCAGCUUUGUUUUUGGCAGCUGAGUUCCCUGAAGUGAUAACGAACAUCUACAGUCCAAACAGCAGAAUACUGGUAACUGUUAGAAGAUAAUAUAUACUGUUCCUUUAAAAAUCAUUGCUUAGUUAUUCCUUCAGUAUUUUUAAUGUCUAGUAGAGAUGAGGAAAAAGAUAUAUAAUGGUGAGAGUGAACUUUUUUGUUUGUGUGCGUGCAUAUGUGUAUAUAUAUAUGCGUGUGUGUAUGUAUUAAUAUGAGCAUUUUAGCAUUAUAAGAUGGAUUUGAAAGUUGACUUUUGGGUUAAAAAAAUGCUGCUAAUGUUCAAGACCUGUCCAGCUUGUAAUUUUAAAACAUGCCAAAUUCUUUGCCUGGUAAUCAGUUUCAAGUUGCUUUAUAUGAGUUUGGGGGGAGUUGAGAUAUGCCAUCUUCUGCUGUCAUAAAUGUCGUCAUGUCAAGGAAAAGUUUUGCUCACAAGAGUCUCUUUUAUUAUUUUUUUUUAAAGAAAUUAAUUUUUUUUGGUUUAAAUGACCUAGUGCAAUUUACCUAGAAAGCCAGGAAGUACAGGGUUUUUAAUACUUCUAAUUCUGAACUGCACAGACAUUUGUGAAUUGCUUACUGCACUUUUUUACUCUUACGGAAGAGGAAAAUUCAUGUAGAUUUUAAAGAUUCUUGAUGAAGAUAAAUGGGAGGGGACUAGAUAGCAGAAAAGAAAAAUUGGAAGAACAAAAGAUUCUAUUGCGGUGACUGCUCUUAUAAUGCUAUAGUUAAAGUUUUGUCAGCAUUUCUCUUACAAAAUCUUUAUCCUGCUAUAGAAUUUUACUCUGGGCUAAAAUAUAACUGACGUAAUACAAGGUUAGUCCAUUUUUGGGUCCAAUGCUACAAAAUGUACAGAUGCUUACAAAACUUCAGUGGGACUGCUUAUCUGAGGAAUAUGGGAUGGAUUUCAUCCUUACAGCUUUUCUUUUGAAUAUCUGUAAAAUUUUUAUCUGUGCUUGGAAGGUUUAGAUUUUUUUUAUCAGUAAAUGUCAGUAAGUGUUGAUUCACUGUAAACACACAAACUAAUUAAAAGUAUUUCCAUAAAUGAUCAAAAUUUACAAAGUAAGAAAAAUGCUGCUUGACAGCUUGUUAAUUUGAUUUGAGGAAAUUUACUUUGUAUAUUUUGAUAUGAUGCGGACAAUUUGUAUUUUAACCAUUAUAAAGCUUUGAAGUUUUGAAUCACAGCAUCUACAGUUGUUAAAUAAUUGUCUGCCCUCCCAAUUGUGUGACCCCUCCCUGUAAUUUCUCACAACUUUGAAAAUUUUAAAUCAAAAAAAAUCUUAAAUGCUUAAAAAUAAACACCUAUCAAAAUCAACAAAAUUCUGAUAAGCUUAAAUAUCUGUCUAGCCACUUUUUUUAAAAAAAUUUUGAACGUUUUACAAAUACCUCACAUUUCUAAAGCACUGCUCUUUAUGGUAAUACAAAUAAUAAUAAUGGAGACUAGUGUUGCAGCCCUAGUCAUGGACAAGACCCUAUUGUACUAUGCUCUGUAUAGACUCAAAAAGAUGGUCUCUGCCCCAAACAGCUUAUUAUCUGAGUAUGAGAUGAUAUAACAGAUGGAUACAGCCACACAAAACUGUAAGAGUACAGCGAAACAAUAUGGGUCAGCAUGGUAAGUAGUGGUCUCAGCACACCCACAGCCUAACAGUUGUCAAAUUUUUUGUAGGCAUCAAAGAGAAGAAGAGUUCUCAGGAAGAUAAUUAGUUAGGUUUUUUUGUGAAUGUUUGCAGCAUGCAAAAAAUCAUGGAAGUGGUUGCUUGAAAGUGUUACAAGUGGGCAAGGGGAACUGGCAGUAUUGGUGGACAGGAGGCAGGAGUUGACAAGUUGAUCAUAAAUCAGAAGAUAGGGUGGGGAUAAUGUGUGAAGGCUUUGAAAAUGAACACACAUAAAUUAUGCAUGAUGAGAGAGAGAACCAGUGGUCCUUUAUAGUCCUGACUUCGAACAUGAAAUGCAUGCUGAGUGAUUUGCUGCAUUGGCCUUAAUGCAAAGUCCCUUGAUUUAAAACCAACAGAGAUUUAGGUGUGUGAGUUUUUCUUAGCUUGGAAGGGAAACUAGGCAAAUGCAUCUUCCCACUACAAGCAUACAGGCCUGGUCUGAGGUAAUCCCCUUCCCUGAUACACAGGUGCCGACUUUCCACUGACUCGGGGGGACAGAGGGUGCUCAAUGCUCGGCACUGCCCCCACUCCACCCCUUACUCCAAGGCCCUACCUCUGCCCCGCCUCUCUCCAGCUCCGACUUGCCGCCUCCUUCCUGCCAGCGCACCAUGUCCUCGCUCCUAUCCCUCCUUUAGCCUCCUGCAUGCCCUGAAAUAGCUGUUUGCAGCAGGCAGGAGGGAGGGAGGGAGAGGCACUGAUCAAUGGAGCCCACCGGCAAACAUUGAAGGGGAAGGAGAGAGCUGAUGUGGGACUGCUGGUGAGUGCUCAGCGCCCACCAUUUUUUCCCUGUGGAUGCUCCAGCCCCAGAGCACCCAUGGAGUGACGAGGCAAGAAAGACUAUAGCCUGGCUGUGUGCUAGCUCAGCCUAUCCUGAGGACAGUUGGUCCAGGGAUGGAGAGAUUUGUACCUUCUCUGAUUAUCUACUCAUCUAUUUAGGUGGGGCUCAAAUUUUUUUUGUUUAUAAUUUCUUUUUAUUCAGCCAUUGCUGGAUGUUUGUCAGAGGUCAGUUAAAAAGAACUGGUAUAUAAGGCUAGACCUGUAUUAUGUGUAUGUAAUUUUGGCAGCAGUGGGAAAGGGAGCAAUAGGAAGGAAAGGAUGAGAGUUGAGAUCUAAAAAUCUUUAAACAAACACUGAACUUAGUCAAUAUUCAUAAUAAAGGACUCAAAAUUCAGUCACCACCCUGUAAGAACAUGAUUAUGGUACGUUUAGAUGAACUGGUAACUUGAAAUAUUUUAUGGAUUUUGUGUUUAUUGAGGAAAUGUAAUAAAUAACAUGAGAACAUUUGUGUAUGUCUAAGAAUAUUUAUUUUAUCAUGGUUCCUAGUUUUUUCCCUUCUCUGCCCUCCUUUCGAUUUUUUUUAUGAUGCUAUUAGUGGACAGCUCAAUAUUUACUGUAAAUGGAAACACACAUUUAUUUAUGGUAGCACCCAGAACCCCCAUUUGUGAUUGGGGGCCAUUGUGUUCAAUAAUGUAAAAACCUAGGUAAAAGGCAAUUUCUGCCCUGAAGGGCUAUGGUACAGGCUUAAUAUUUCAAAGUACAAUAAAGCUGGUAAAUACAGAGGGGCAGAGAAAUUAAAUUCUAGGUACUUAAGAAUGAGGAUGACAUUAGAGUUGGAGGGAAGCUCUUUUUGACCAAAACAGUAUAAGAAAACUGCCUCUUCACUGGUGCCUAAUUCACAUCACUCUAAAAUGUCAGAUCUCCCAUAUGUUAUAUAAGGAUUGCUGUCAAGAGAGAGAAAACAAAGUAAUAAAACACCUCAUAGUUAAAUGUAAAAUUGGAAACCUAGUGUGAAUUGGCAACAUUCACAGAUUUGAUGGGGCAUAAAUCCCACUUCUUGUUCUGCUGAAGACAAAUCCUGUUUUCUCCCCUGCUCCCAGUCCCCUGACUGCUCUAACCCCUCUCUCUCUCUAUCAUAUUCAUUCUCUCUCUCUCUCUCACACACACACACACACACACACACACACACACACACACACACACACACACACACACACACACACACACACACACGACUCCCACGCUUAUCCAACUCCUCCCUGACCGCUCCCUAGAACCUCCGCCCCAUCCAACUGCCCCCUGUCUCUUAUCCAACCCCCGGACCCCUUACUAUGCCAUUCAGAGCAGCAUGUCUGGUAGCCGCCCUGCCCUGCCCUGACGUUCUGCUCGACAGGAACGCACAACCUUGCUACCCAGAGUGCUGUGCGUGCGGUUGCAUGGCUGUGGGGGAGAGGGGACAGCAGGGGAAGGGCCGGGGUUAGCCUCCCGGGCCGGGAGCUCUGGGGCCAGGCAGGAUGGUCGCCCGCAGGCCGUAGUUUGCCCACCUCUGUGCUAGUGUGCUGUCUCAUGGGUUAUUCCUUAUGAGAGAAUACAUAUGAAUGUAAGAAAUGUAGAACACACUGUUUUACUCCUAAUUUUUUGUUUGUUCCUCAUCACAGCUCUCUGUCCCUGUCACUCCAGUAGAACUAAAAUGAAAGGUUUGAAAAAUCACAUGGUGAUUGCAAGCAUGAAGCUUUCUAGCAUAUGGGUCCUAUGCAGAAUUGAAGGUUUCAUUGUGCAACUGCCUAUCAUGGCAAAGAAAAUCUUCCAACCCUGAACCACUAUAAUACUAUCUUCUGAAAUCUACGGAGUGAGCUUCUGUACCUCUGCUGUUAAUAGUUCAAGCUGCAGCUUGCACUGAAAGCUGAUCAGAAUUGUGUUCGUUUUCACUGUAGCUUUUCAAAAUCCUGUAGACAGCAGUAAAACUGAGAAGAAUUACAUCUGUUUACUCUGCUGUUUGAGAAGAGCUGAGCAGCAGCAGCAAGGGCAGGAAUUGGAGCUGUUCACUGAGACGGACUUUUGGGUUUAGGUGAAGGGGGAGAGGUAGAGCAGUGAAGAACCACCCACAUCUCCCAGCAACCAGGAGUCUGGGGGUGGGAAGAAGCAAGGGGGGGAUGAGGAGCAGGAGAAGGAGAAGGUGCUUCUCUUGCAGCAACUGAAAAGGGAAGGC